AUCAUGAAGCACUGCAGACCAAAUGUGCUAAUCUGCUCUGGAAUGUUGCCUCAGCCCAUCUGAAAAGCCUAUAUUUUUGUUGAAGACAUAACAAAGAGAACUUCUGCUUUCAGAGUCACUGAAGGGCUAGCUCUUUUGCUUUAAAACUGGGAAUCAGAGUAUAUGAGCUAAAGCUAAAUCCCACAGUUGGAGUGCUUUUAAGACUUGGAACAAGUUAAGAUGUAAGUUUUCUUAUUUAUGAAGGAGGUAAAGAAUGGCAGACAAAGGAAUGAUGGGACAAAGAGAAACUGCACUUCUGUAAUUAUAAUUGGCAUGUGAGUCACCCUCGGCACUGGAGGAAAAGAAGCUGCAGAAGGCACAAUAUCUAGCCUGACAUAUGGACAUGGUGGAAAACGGAGACAGCUGACCAUUUCUGCAUUAUACCAGAGUGACGAACCCAACGGACAACAUGAAACCUUUUGCUGAGAAAGGCCUUUGUCAUGCCAUCACCUUAGUGUGAUAUUAUCAAUCUACUGUUGUACUGUGCCAAGAUGCUUCAAUGUGCUUCCAUGAAAGAAGUUUACUGUAAAAUAAAUGUGUUUUAGUUUAUUGUAAAAUAAAUGAGAACCUCUUAAAAGUAAUAAGUGCAGUAUCCAGAUUUGGGCCUGGGUUUAGGCAGAGGCUGUUAACGGAUAGUGCAGAGGGCUUAUUUUAGAGAAGAAUGUGUUUGUUGUAGACAUUGCCUGGAAACAGGUACAUAGAUUUGUGAAGACAUACUGUUUACUGCAAGUUUUAUGCAAACAUGAACCGACAUCCUAGCCAAUGUUCUAUUGGACUGUGUCAUUUGACUAAAAGAUCCCUCAUUCAGUAAAAGAAUAGCUUUGCAGUCUGCAAUGUGAUGCUCUCGUGUUAACUCCAAGAAAAGUAGGGCUAAAUUGAUGUUACCAGUUUCAUUCUGUACCCACGGUAUUAGUUUUGACACUGACUGCAUGCAGGUGGAUUAUAAUGCAUAAUAUUGAUCUAGAGGAUUUUUUUUCCCCUUCAGCUGUACCUUAGCUUCUAGCCUUGAUCUUAAAAGUUAAGAUGGAUGUUCAGUAUUAUCAUCUAACAGAAAGGGUAAAAAAUCAAUUUUAUCUCCUGGUGCUUCAUUCCCUUGUCUUCCAGUGCUUGAGUGGUGGGGUUGUAACAACCGUCAGCAUAAAAUCAUUUAUUAGCUGAUGUUAUGACAACUUCUGGCAGAUGAAUAUAUUACUAUAUGUUGAUGCUCCUGAAAUCAACUUUCUGAUUAAAGAUAUGAAAAGAAUAUGGCAACCAA